rnacentral:rRNA from 1 species
AUUGAACGCUGGCGGCCGGCCUAACACAUGCAAGUCGAACGAGUGGCGGACUGGUGAGCAAUGUCUGGGAAACUGCCUGAUGGAGGGGGCUAACGACUGGAAACCGUAGCUAAUACCGCAUACCAUCAGAUGUGCCCAGAUGGGAUUAGCUAGUUGGUGUGGGAACGGCUAACCAAGGCGACGAGCCCUAGCUGGUCUGAGAGGAUGACCAGCCACACUGGAACGGAGACACGGUCCAGACUCCGACGGGAGGCAGCAGUGGGGAAUCUUGCACAAUGGGCGAAAGCCUGAUGCAGCCAUGCCGCGUGUAUGAAGAAGGCCUUCGGGUUGUAAAGUACUUUCAGCGGGGAGGCGUUACCCGCAGAAGAAGCACCGGCUAACUCCGUGCCAGCAGCCGCGGUAAUAC